rnacentral:rRNA from 1 species
CCACCAAGUAUUAAAGGUCCCGCCUGCCCAGUGAUACUAUAUUCAACGGCCGCGGUAUCCUCACCGUGCAAAGGUAGCGUAAUCACUUGCCCCCUAAUUAGGGGCCUGUAUGAACGGCCAACUGAGGGCCUGCCUGUCUCUUGCAGCACGAUAAUGAAACUGAUCUCCUAGUACAAAAGCUAGAAUACCCCCAUAAGACGAGAAGACCCUGUGGAGCUUACAAAUACUAUUGCUACGUAGCCCCCCCCCAACCUAACACAAACACUAGCAAUACUUUUUAGUUGGGGCAACUAUGGAGUAAAACCAAACCUCCAAGUAACAACUAACCCUUACCCAAGGCUCACCAGCCAAACCCAAAAAGACCCAGCACAGCUGAUCACCGAACCAAGUUACCCCAGGGAUAACAGCGCCAUCCUCUUCCAGAGCCCAUAUCGCCAAGAGGGUUUACGACCUCGAUGUUGGAUCAGGACACCCCAGUGGCGCAGCCGCUACUAAAGGUCCGUUUGUUCAACGGCUAAC